rnacentral:rRNA from 1 species
ACGGGUGAGUAAUGUCUGGGAAACUGCCUGAUGGAGGGGAUAACUACUGGAAACGGUAGCUAAUACCGCAUAACGUCGCAGGACCAAAGAGGGGGACCUUCGGGCCUCUUGCCAUCGGAUGUGCCCAGAUGGGAUUAGCUAGUAGGUGGGGUAAUGGCUCACCUAGGCGACGAUCCCUAGCUGGUCUGAGAGGAUGACCAGCCACACUGGAACUGAGACACGGUCCAG